CCCGGUGAAAAGCACCGCCUGCUUUGGCGUACAGGCGGGCUGCUUUACGCUGUGUCUGCCGCACGAUUAGGGAAAAUCCUUGACCAGGCGCGUACUGAGAAAUAACGUGAAUCCCGAGGUCUGCUGCUGAAAAACUCGUGUAACCUGUGUAUGUUUUUUUUUUUUUCCUUGGGGCUUUUUGGGUGAAAAAGCGCUUGACCACCGAGGGAGAUGUGCGGAGAAUGGAAAGCGCUUGGGCAAGCAAAACAGGGGGACUAAACUUCACUAAGUUUCUCUGCUCUUCCUCUCCAUUUCGCCUUGAAAUUCCUCUCCGGAGAUUAUCCGCAGCAUCAACACCCCUGUAAACAAACCAGGAGGGGGCCCUAAGAAGAUCAUCAGUGAAGACCCUCCUCACGAAGCAUGCAAGUGUGUGUUCACCCCAUGUCUGUGCCUGACCUCCAUCCAACCUCCACCUGCACUUCCUGUUCAGAGUUGCCUGUAACACCUAUAUGGGACACCUGGACUGUUUCUUAAUACCAAGAACACAAAGAUUGUACUUGUGGCCUUGCCAAGAGAGGUUUUGGUAACUUGCCUCCCAAGAAUUAACUUGGGAUGGAAUGAAUCAUGGGAUUGAUUUCACUGGGCGAGGAUGCAACCGAUGGAUUGGGAUUGGUCUCGUUUGGCGUGGACGCAUCCUUGAUAUUUGGGGUGGGGCAAGAUCGACAUCCAGGGAUUUUUACCAUCCUCUAUACUUCUGUUCUUAGUAUUGGAACUGGUCCUUGGAAAUGGAAGAUGACAAAAAAUGGGUGAAUGAGAACACAAGUAAGGUCAAGUAACACCCCUGCACUUCUUGUUCAAAGCUGGUUAUAACACCUGUUUGAGACACCUGCACUUCCUGUUGACAGCUGGCUGUAACACCUGUAUUUCCUGUUGACAGCUGGCUGCAACACCCAUAGCAAGCAGCCACCUGCUGCAUGUUGUGUGCUAA